rnacentral:tRNA from 1 species
GGGGAUGUGGCUUAAUGGUACAGUAUUUGCCUAACAUGCAUAAAGUCCUUGGUUCAAUCCCUAGCACUGCCA